UUAUGUGAUCGUCUCUCGCAUAUCAAUAAGCGGAGGAAAAGAAACUAACAAGGAUUCCCCUAGUAACGGCGAGUGAAGCGGGAAGAGCUCAAAUUUGAAAUCUUAAAGGGUUUCCCUUUACGAAUUGUAGUUUAAAGAAGUGUUUUCUGUUGAGGUUUUGGUGAAAGUUCUUUGGAAUAGGACAUCAUAGAGGGUGAGAAUCCCGUAUUUGACCUUUACUUUCAACUUUGUGAUACACUUUCAAAGAGUCGGAUUGUUUGGGAAUGCAGUCCAAAAUGGGUGAGUAAAUUUCAUCUAAAGCUAAAUAUUGGCGAGAGACCGAUAGCGAACAAGUACCGUGAGGGAAAGAUGAAAAGAACUUUGAAAAGAGAGUUAAACAGUACGUGAAAUUGUCAAAAGGGAAGCGUUUGACACCAGUGUUGUUUUUCUGAAAAUCAAUUAAAGAACUGUUUAUGCUAAGCUGUUUAGACUUUAUCAGCUAACUGUUUAGUUUUGAGCUUUUCUUUAAUGCACUUUUCAGUUAACAAGUCAACAUCAAUUUCUUUUGCUGUAAAAAAGCUUGAGGAAGGUGGCUUGAGAUUCGUCUUAAGUGUUUAUAGCCUCUUGCCUAUGCAGUCGGAGAGAUUGAGGUCUGCAGCGUAGAUCCUUCGGAGCUAAAUGCAUUUGUGCUAGGUUAUAGCAUUUUAUAGACAACUUGUUGACUAUGAUUUGUCUUGUAGCUUACUCGCUUAUGUUAUUUUACCUACGCUUAGGAUGUUGAGUAGCGACAUACGCAC
rnacentral:rRNA from 1 species